AUGUCGUCGUUCGCCGGCGUAUCCGUCCUCGCCGACGGCGGGCUGUGCCCCGCGACCGAGUCGUUCGUCGACACCGGCACGGACUGCGGGUACCACCUGCUGGUGGUCCAGGACUACCGGCGCACCAAGCAGGAGGCACCCACCGGCGACAGCAUCACCUCCCGCCCAUUCACCGUCGGAGGCCACGACUGGUACCUCCACUACUACCCCAACGGCGAGAACCUGAGCUGCGCCAACUACGUCUCCCUCAGCGUUUCCCGCCUGUACGACGACGAGGGGGCCGACGAGGUCGUGGACACCAAGUUCGGGUUCAGUUUCGUCGACCAGGUCGAGAAGCAGAAUCCAGUGUACAUCCGUGGAACCGAAACGUGCAGCUUCCCCUUACCCGGUUCUUCGUGGAGCUGCGACAAGUUCGUCAGGAGACACGCCCUCGAACGAUCGGCAAAUCUAAGGGGCGACUGCUUCACCAUCCGGUGCGACAUCAUGGUUGUCCACGACACCAAGGGCGGCGAUGGCGAGGCGCUCCUGCCUGACAUACACCGGCAUUUCGGCGAUCUCUUUCAAACCAAUUUGGGUGCUGAUGUGACAUUCGAGGUCUGUGGUGAGAUGAUUGCUGCACACAGAUGCGUGCUUGCUGCCCGGUCUAAAGUCUUCAGGGCACAGCUCUUUGGCCCCAUGAAGGAGGGCAGUGCUACUACUACAUCCAGUGUCAUACAGAUCAAAGACAUGGAAGCAAACAUAUUCAGAGCCUUGCUUAGCUUUGUCUACACAGACUCAUUCCCCGCGAUGCAUGAGGACAGCAUGGAGGAGGAUGAAACGUCACACCUUGUGGAACAUGGACAAGGAGAGGAAGCUCUAGAAGACAAAAUGUCAGAAGCUGCGGAACAAGGACAAGGAGAGGAAGCAAUAGAGGACAAAAUGUCAGAAGUUGCGGAACAAGGACAAGGAGAGGAAGCAGUAGAGGAUGAAACACGCGUGCAAUGGCUGCAGGACUUGUUUGUAGCGGCAGACAGAUAUGAUCUCCAACGGCUCAAGUUCAUCUGCGAAAAACAGCUAUCUGAGCUCAUAGGUGUCAGCUCAGUGGCGUCCACCCUUGCUCUAGCUGAGCGGCACCACUGCCGCGGAUUGAAAGAGGCGUGCAUUAAGUUUAUCCAAGUCCAGUCUCCCUCAUGUUUGCAAACAAUAAUGGCGACCGAUGGCUGGGAGCAUAUAAUCACGACCUAUCCCUCUGUUUUGAACGAGCUCAUUGCCGAGGUUAUUGCUUUGAACCAGCAGACUUUAUCACUCUUUACUAAGAUCUGA
rnacentral:rRNA from 1 species